rnacentral:rRNA from 1 species
CCUACGGGUGGCAGCAGUCGAGAAUCAUUCACAAUGGGGGAAACCCUGAUGGUGCGACGCCGCGUGGGGGAAUGAAGGUCUUCGGAUUGUAAACCCCUGUCAUGUGGGAGCAAAUUAAAAAGAUAGUACCACAAGAGGAAGAGACGGCUAACUCUGUGCCAGCAGCCGCGGUAAUACAGAGGUCUCAAGCGUUGUUCGGAAUCACUUGGCGUAAAGCGUGCGUAGGCUGUUUCGUAAGUCGUGUGUGAAAGGCGCGGGCUCAACCCGCGGACGGCACAUGAUACUGCGAGACUAGAGUAAGGGAGGGGGAACCGGAAUUCUCGGUGUAGCAGUGAAAUGCGUAGAUAUCGAGAGGAACACUCGUGGCGAAGGCGGGUUCCUGGACAUUAACUGACGCUGAGGCACGAAGGCCAGGGGAGCGAAAGGGAUUAGAUACCCUAGUAGUC